CCUACGGGAGGCAGCAGUGAGGAAUAUUGGUCAAUGGACGAGAGUCUGAACCAGCCAAGUAGCGUGAAGGAUGACUGCCCUAUGGGUUGUAAACUUCUUUUAUAUGGGAAUAAAAUGUUCCACGUGUGGGCUUUUGUAUGUACCAUAUGAAUAAGGAUCGGCUAACUCCGUGCCAGCAGCCGCGGUAAUACGGAGGAUCCGAGCGUUAUCCGGAUUUAUUGGGUUUAAAGGGAGCGUAGGUGGAUUGUUAAGUCAGUUGUGAAAGUUUGCGGCUCAACCGUAAAAUUGCAGUUGAAACUGGCAGUCUUGAGUACAGUAGAGGUGGGCGGAAUUCGUGGUGUAGCGGUGAAAUGCUUAGAUAUCACGAAGAACUCCGAUUGCGAAGGCAGCUCACUGGACUGCAUCUGACACUGAGGCUCGAAAGUGUGGGUAUCAAACAGGAUUAGAUACCCUUGUAGUC
rnacentral:rRNA from 1 species